AUUCUUCCAGCCACAAAGAUGGCUACUUCUUCUUCUUCUUGCGCCUGUACACUUUGAUGUCCCCAUCAUAAGUUUUCAUAUCUUCAUCAUCAAUAGUUUUAAUAGUUUGUAUUGAAGGUACUAGUGUCACUGGCAAACUCUUAUUGGUUGAUCACUUCAAGUCUCUAUGCUGCAAAAAGGUUGCAUGAUGCCAUGCUUCAUUCCAUGUUAAGAGCUUCAAUGGUGUUCUUCCGGACCAACCCUAUUGGGCGCAUAAUCAAUAGGUUUGCCAAGGAUCUAGGUGAUAUAGAUCGCACUGUUGCUGUAUAUACAGAUAUGUUUCUGAGUCAUGUGUCACAGCUCCUUUCAACUUUCAUCCUGAUAGGCAUAUUGAGCACCAUAUCCCUGUGGGGCAUAUUGCCACUUCUGGUAUUGAUAUAUGCUAUCUGUAUUACCAGAUAUGGAACAUUAUCGUGUGGCCCCUGCCAUGUUUGGAGAAACAACAAUGGAAACAAAUCCUUGAUGAAUGGCAUCUGAAAUAGACAGUGGCCCUGAAAUUCCUUAUAUAUUUUGAUAUGUGAAAAUUGUCAUGAAUUAUUGGAAAUCUAUUGGAUGAUAUCUGAUAA